rnacentral:rRNA from 1 species
AUUGAACGCUGGCGGCAGGCUUAACACAUGCAAGUCGAGCGGGGGAAGGUAGCUUGCUACCUAACCUAGCGGCGGACGGGUGAGUAAUGCUUAGGAAUCUGCCUAUUAGUGGGGGACAACAUUUCGAAAGGGAUGCUAAUACCGCAUACGCCCUAAGGGGGAAAGCAGGGGAUCUUCGGACCUUGCGCUAAUAGAUGAGCCUAAGUCGGAUUAGCUAGUUGGUGGGGUAAAGGCCUACCAAGGCGACGAUCUGUAGCGGGUCUGAGAGGAUGAUCCGCCACACUGGGACUGAGACACGGCCCAGACUCCUACGGGAGGCAGCAGUGGGGGAAUAUUGGACGAUGGGCGGAAGCCUGAUCCAGCCAUGCCGCGUGUGUGAAGAAGGCCUUUUGGUUGUAAAGCACUUUAAGCGAGGAGGAGGCUACUGAGAUUAAUACUCUUGGAUAGUGGACGUUACUCGCAGAAUAAGCACCGGCUAACUCUGUGCCAGCCGCCGCGGUAAGAC